UGGGGAAUAUUGGACAAUGGGCGCAAGCCUGAUCCAGCCAUGCCGCGUGUGUGAAGAAGGCCUUUUGGUUGUAAAGCACUUUAAGCGAGGAGGAGGCUACUUGGAUUAAUACUCUAAGAUAGUGGACGUUACUCGCAGAAUAAGCACCGGCUAACUCUGUGCCAGCAGCCGCGGUAAUACAGAGGGUGCGAGCGUUAAUCGGAUUUACUGGGCGUAAAGCGUGCGUAGGCGGCUUCUUAAGUCGGAUGUGAAAUCCCUGAGCUUAACUUAGGAAUUGCAUUCGAUACUGGGAAGCUAGAGUAUGGGAGAGGAUGGUAGAAUUCCAGGUGUAGCGGUGAAAUGCAUAGAGAUCUGGAGGAAUACCGAUGGCGAAGGCAGCCAUCUGGCCUAAUACUGACGCUGAGGUACGAAAGCAUGGGGAGCAAACAGG
rnacentral:rRNA from 1 species